rnacentral:rRNA from 1 species
CAAUAGCGUAUAUUAAAGUUGUUGCAGUUAGAACGCUCGUAGUCGGAUUUCGGGGCGGGUCGACCGGUCUGCCGAUGGGUACGCACUGGCCGACGCGUCCUUUUUGCCGGAGACCGUCCCUACUCUUAACUGAGCGGGGUCGGGAGACGGCACUUUUACUUUGAAAAAAUCAGAGUGUUUCAAGCAGGCAGCUCGCUCUUGCAUGGAUUAGCAUGGGAUAAUGAAAUAGGACUUUGGUGCUAUUUUGUUGGUUUAGAACACCGAAGUAAUGAUGAGAAGGGACAGUCAGGGGCACUCGUAUUCCGCCGAGAGAGGUGAAAUUCUCAGACCAGCGGAAGACGAACCACUGCGAAAGCAUUUGCCAGGGAUGUUUUCACUGA